rnacentral:rRNA from 1 species
GAUGAACGCUAGCUACAGGCUUAACACAUGCAAGUCGAGGGGAAACGACAUCGAAAGCUUGCUUUUGAUGGGCGUCGACCGGCGCACGGGUGAGUAACGCGUAUCCAACCUGCCCAUCACUUGGGAAUAACCUUGCGAAAGUAAGACUAAUACCCAAUGAUAUCCCACGAAGGCAUCGGAAUGGGAUUAAAGAUUUAUCGGUGACGGAUGGGGAUGCGUCUGAUUAGCUUGUUGGCGGGGUAACGGCCCACCAAGGCAACGAUCAGUAGGGGUUCUGAGAGGAAGGUCCCCCACAUUGGAACUGAGACACGGUCCAAACUCCUACGGGAGGCAGCAGUGAGGAAUAUUGGUCAAUGGGCGAGAACCUGAACCAGCCAAGUAGCGUGCAGGAAGACGGCCCUAUGGGUUGUAAACUGCUUUUAUAAGGGAAUAAAGUGGGUCACGUGUGACUUUUUGCAUGUACCUUAUGAAUAAGGACCGGCUAAUUCCGUG